rnacentral:rRNA from 1 species
GAUUAACGCCGGCGGCGUGCAUAACACAUGCAAGUCGAACGAUGAAACUUAGUAGACUUCUUCGGAAAGACAUUAAGCGGAUUAGUGGCGAACGGGUGAGUAACGCGUGAGUAACCUGCCUUACACAAGGGGAUAGCCUUUGGAAACGAAGAAUAAUACCCUAUAAAACCAUAAAAGCACAUGCUAGAAUGGUCAAAGUGAUAGCGGUGUAAGAUGGACUUGCGUCUGAUUAGCUAGUUGGUGAGAUAAAAGCUCACCAAGGCAACGAUCAGUAGCCGGCUUGAGAGAGUGUACGGCCACAUUGGGACUGAGACACGGCCCAGACUCCUACGGGAGGCAGCAGUGGGGAAUUUUGCACAAUGGGGGAAACCCUGAUGCAGCGACGCCGCGUGAUUUAGAAGGCCUUCGGGUUGUAAAAAUCUUUUGUAUAGGAAGAAAAUGACAGUACUAUACGAAUAAGGUCCGGCUAAUUACGUG